UUCCAGGGGAAGGUUCGUCCGCCCUGGGUUAGUCGGGACCUAAGCUGAGGCCGAAAGGCGUAGGUGAUGGACAACAGGUUGAUAUUCCUGUACUACCGAUAACCAUUUGAGAGAAGGGAUGACACAGUAGGAUAAGCUAAGCACACUGUUGGUUAUGUGUGCCCAAGCAUUGAGGCAGUCAAAGUAGGCAAAUCCGCUUUGAUAAUGCUGGG
rnacentral:rRNA from 1 species